rnacentral:rRNA from 1 species
GACGAACGCUGGCGGCGUGCCUAAUACAUGCCAGUAGAACGCUGAAGGAGGAGCUUGCUCUUCUGGAUGAGUUGCGAACGGGUGAGUAACGCGUAGGUAACCUGCCUGGUAGCGGGGGAUAACUAUUGGAAACGAUAGCUAAUACCGCAUAACAGUAGAUGUUGCAUGACAUUUGCUUAAAAGGUGCAAUUGCACCACUACCAGAUGGACCUGCGUUGUAUUAGCUAGUUGGUGGGGUAACGGCUCACCAAGGCGACGAUACAUAGCCGACCUGAGAGGGGGAUCGGCCACACUGGGACUGAGACACGGCCCAGACUCCUACGGGAGGCAGCAGUAGGGAAUCUUCGGCAAUGGACGGAAGUCUGACCGAGCAACGCCGCGUGAGUGAAGAAGGGUUUCGGAUCGUAAAGCUCUGUUGUAAGAGAAGAACGAGUGUGAGAGUGGAAAGUUCACACUGUGACGGUAUCUUACCAGAAAGGGACGGCUAACUACGUG